GGUGGGUUGGCAGAACUGGAUAAUGCGCGGCUCUCGAAAAGCCGUGGGAUUUUUCCCUUGUAGGUUCGAGUCCUACACCCACCG
rnacentral:tRNA from 1 species